ensembl:lncRNA
GUUAGUUUCAGUUAUUUAUUUAAGUUAAAUCGUUUUUGGCCACAGCGCCAUUGUUUAUUUGUAUUUCUUUGUUUAUUGUAUAAUAAAACCCCCUUCCCAGUAUGUCAAACCUCUGCGCUUCCUUCCCUCGUAAGUCCGUAGUCGUGACAGAAUGCCAGAGACCCCCCCAAAAGCGCAGAGGUAGAAAGCAGAGGAGAAGAAACGCCGCGAAGGACACAGCCCGGCGCGGCGAACGCGGACGCCAGGGGAGAGACGCGCCGCCCGUUCUGGUGGAGCCUUUUCUCCCCGAGAAGCCGUGGUACGCGGCGCCGCGUGAUGACGUCACCCCCGGGAAACUCCGCGAAACCCGGAAGCGACAACGUCGGCGGGUGAGUGGGCGGAGCGAGGACGUUGGCGUCGGCAGCAGCGAGGAAGUGACGUGGGCAGCGAGCGCAGAAGAUGCGACCCCCACGAUCUUCGCCAUGUCGAGCCAAGAACUCUGCGCUCUGCUGGCAAGGCUCCCCGUGGACUGGGACGACACGGACGACGACGAGAGCACGGGAGACGAGAGUUGGGCUCCGCCCAUCGCGCCAGUCUGCGAUCGUCGCAAGGUCCGUGGGGACCCACGUCACUUCCAGGGGGGUGAGAAGCGGCAAAAACGGCGGCGUUCCUCCAGCGAGGAGGUGGGCAGCCUCCAGCCCGAAUGGCCAGAGUACUGCCCAUGGGAGCGUAUCGCGCCAUGGGUCCAGGAUGUCCGCAGGGUGGACGACCCUUGGAGUCACUGGUGGGAGGACACGGAUGACGAAAGCGAUGAUGACGUGGAUUUUCGGUGGGCGGUCGUUGCCGGGAUGGCUCCGCCCAGCGUGCGCGUCCGAGAUCAUCGCGGCGUCCAUGAUGACCCAUGUGACUUCUGGGGGUACGAGGUGGACACGGACGACGACCAGGAUGACGCCGUUUGGGCAGUCGGUGCCGGGAUGGCUCCGCCCAUCGCGCCCACACCUGCUGGAGGAGACGUCCACCCCCCUCCACACCACACACCUACCACCAUCUCCAGCGACGUGCCCAGCCCCGUGUGGGACAGCCCAAUUGUCCCGGGACCCUUCAGUGGGGCAGCAGACACAGACGAGACCACCACCAUCCUCGCGUGUCUGCUUGGGUCAGCAUGGGGCUGGAGCGCAGCCCUCGGGCAGCAGGGAGAGACAGACAGCAGUUUUCGGGACUUCCAGCAGAGACUGAGGGCGGAGUUUGAUAGGCCAGAGCCUGAGCCAGGGACCGAACUCUGCCCCUCCACCACAUCCAGCGCCAGUCAGGAUCCGGGGCAAGAAGACCAAGCAAUGGUGGGCGACGAGAAGGUCGCACCUCCCGAGAUCCUGGCUGUGCCCCCUGAGGAGGUCCCGGAGAGCCCAGAGAGGGAGCCAGACGACCCUCUCUUCUGUCUGUCUCUGUCUGUGUGUGUCUGUGUGGCAUAUGUGUCCGUAUGUCGCCCCCACUUCCCCUCUUUGUGUCCACCAGAUGGUGACCCAGCCGCGGAGCCGAACCCCAGGGAGGAGGUUCCUGACCCGAAUGUGCUGGUCCAAGGCGAGGUGGACAAGCCCCAAGGUACCCC